rnacentral:rRNA from 1 species
GACGUAGGGCGCGAGCGUUGUCCGGAUUUAUUGGGCGUAAAGAGCUCGUAGGCGGCUUGUUGCGUCGACUGUGAAAACCCGCGGCUUAACUGCGGGCUUGCAGUUGAUACGGGCAGGCUAGAGUUCGGUAGGGGAGACUGGAAUUCCUGGUGUAGCGGUGAAAUGCGCAGAUAUCAGGAGGAACACCGGUGGCGUAGGCGGGUCUCUGGGCCGAUACUGACGCUGAGGAGCGAAAGCGUGGGGAGCGAACAGG